rnacentral:rRNA from 1 species
AGAGUUUGAUCCUGGCUCAGGAUGAACGCUGGCGGCGUGCCUAACACAUGCAAGUCGAGCGAGGGUUUGCUCAGUAUUGAGUAUUCUAAGACUAGAAUGUUCAAUUCUGAGCAAAACCAAGCGGCGGACGGGUGAGUAACGCGUGGGUAACCUGCCCUAUACACAUGGAUAACAUACUGAAAAGUUUACUAAUACAUGAUAAUAUAUAUUUGCGGCAUCGCAGAUAUAUCAAAGUGUUAGCGGUAUAGGAUGGACCCGCGUCUGAUUAGCUAGUUGGUGAGAUAACUGCCCACCAAGGCGACGAUCAGUAGCCGACCUGAGAGGGUGAUCGGCCACAUUGGAACUGAGACACGGUCCAAACUCCUACGGGAGGCAGCAGUGGGGAAUAUUGCACAAUGGGCGAAAGCCUGAUGCAGCAACGCCGCGUGAACGAUGAAGGUCUUCGGAUCGUAAAGUUCUGUUGCAGGGGAAGAUAAUGACGGUACCCUGUGAGGAAGCCCCGGCUAACUACGUGCCAGCAGCCGCGGUAAUACGUAGGGGGCUAGCGUUAUCCGGAUUUACUGGGCGUAAAGGGUGCGUAGGUGGUCCUUCAAGUCGGUGGUUAAAGGCUACGGCUCAACCGUAGUAAGCCGCCGAAACUGGAGGACUUGAGUGCAGGAGAGGAAAGUGGAAUUCCCAGUGUAGCGGUGAAAUGCGUAGAUAUUGGGAGGAACACCAGUAGCGAAGGCGGCUUUCUGGACUGCAACUGACACUGAGGCACGAAAGCGUGGGUAGCAAACAGGAUUAGAUACCCUGGUAGUCCACGCUGUAAACGAU